AUUGAACGCUGGCGGCAGGCUUAACACAUGCAAGUCGAGCGGAGAUGAGGUGCUUGCACCUUAUCUUAGCGGCGGACGGGUGAGUAAUGCUUAGGAAUCUGCCUAUUAGUGGGGGACAACAUUCCGAAAGGAAUGCUAAUACCGCAUACGUCCUACGGGAGAAAGCAGGGGAUCUUCGGACCUUGCGCUAAUAGAUGAGCCUAAGUCGGAUUAGCUAGUUGGUGGGGUAAAGGCCUACCAAGGCGACGAUCUGUAGCGGGUCUGAGAGGAUGAUCCGCCAAACUGGGACUGAGACACGGCCCAGACUCCUGCGGGAGGCAGCAGUGGGGAAUAUUGGACAAUGGGGGGAACCCUGAUCCAGCCAUGCCGCGUGUGUGAAGAAGGCCUUAUGGUUGUAAAGCACUUUAAGCGAGGAGGAGGCUACUGAGACUAAUACUCUUGGAUAGUGGACGUUACUCGCAGAAUAAGCACCGGCUAACUCUGUGCCAGCAGCCGCCGUAAUAC
rnacentral:rRNA from 1 species